rnacentral:lncRNA from 1 species
UUUUUUGUUUUUUUAGGGCCACCCCUGUGGCAUAUGGAGGUUCCCAGGCUAGGGGUCAAAUCUGAGCUGUAGCCACUGGCCUACACCACGUCCACAGCAAUACCCAAUCUGAGCUGUGUCUGUGACCUAUACCACAGCUCACGGCAUCGCUGGAUCCUUAACCCACUGAGCGGGGGCCAGGGAUCAAACCUGCGUCUUCAUGGAUGCUAGUCAGAUUCGUUUUCUGCUGAGCUACAAUGGGAACUCCCCAUCUUUCUUUUAUUUUUUUUCAGUUGUUGUUCUAGGAUUUAAAAGAUCGUCAACUUGGAGUUCCCGUCCUGGCUCAGUGGUUAACGAAUCCCACUAGGAACCUCAAAGUUGCACGUUCGAUCCCUGGCCUUGCACAUGGGUUAAGGAUCCGGCAUUGCCGUGAGCUGUGGUGUAGGUCGAAGAUGCGGCUCGGAUCCUGCGUUGCUGUGGCUGUGGUGUAGGCCAGCUGCAACAGCUCCGAUUAGAUCCCUAGCCUGGGAACCUCCAUGUGCUUCAGGUGCAGCCCUAAAAAAAAGCCAAAAAAAAAAAAAAAAAAAAAAAUGGGCAUCAGGGAAUAUGCCCUUCUUCGGGCCUGAGCAGAGUUUUCAACCCACUCCUGACCUUAGACAGCUAUAAUUCCAAAAGCCAUUUAAAUCUUGAGCUUUUCUAGGCUUGGGAUUUCUUUAGCAGUACAAGAUUUUUUAAAAAACUUUAAUUCCAGUCACAUUCACGCUCUGAUAACUAUACCUAUAGCUCUUUCCCAGGGAGAAUUCUUAGAUUUGCUCUGCUGUUUUUGCUUUAUCAUCACCCCAUCUCUUUCUUGUCUUCAUUUCUGGUCCCACAGCUUCAACCUCUUUUCUUCGGGCCAUUUCUGUCCAAUUGCAAGUACUUUCUGGAUGUAAACUCUAUCCAUCCAGAAGUUUUAACAAGACGUUAUGUUGCAACAACUAUAAAAAUUUCUCAUUCUCACGUUUGACUGUAUGGAUUGAAAAGCAGUCAUGCAAGUCCCUGAGUUUUUGAAAUCUUUCUAUUCUUUUUUAUUCCUGCUUGUAAAUAUACAACAUCUUUAAGAAAAAAAAAAAAGAGAGAGAGAGAAUAAAUUAGCUUUUCUUGUAAUGCCUUGCCAAACACCCUCAAUAGCAGCCAACCCAUGCUUGCUGGCCCCACGUAUUUUAGGCUAUUCAUUAGAGCAGCACCCAAAAUUAUAGGCACCAGUUCUUAUGCCAGUCAGAGUAGACUGGGUUGUGCAAAAGUCAAAAACAACUUCAAAUCUCAGUGGUUGAAAAAGGAGUCGGAGGCGGGGAGGAAGAAUAGGAGCUAUUUCUGUUCACGUGCCUUAAGCACCGCAGGCCGUCAGCGGUAUCUGUUCGCUGCUGUCAUUCAGGGUCCCAAACACUGUCUCAAAAACAGCUGGUCAUCCCUCCAGGCGUAAAGACAGACUGCGCCACACCAGCUCUGAGAGAAGGACCCAGAAGCACAGCCGCCAAAGCAAGUCUUGAGGCCACACCCACCUCCAAGGAAGUUGGAAACACAACCCUCACGUGUGGGCCCAGAAGGAAACCUGGACCCACUGAGUGGACAACACGCGUUAUCACAGAGGAGGGUUGAGAGAAGCUGAGGUAGGGACUUGAUAAGUGACUGAAACAAAGACACCUCAGCACAUCAAAGGAAGAAAUGCCCUUCCCACCAUCAACUUCUACUCGGAGAGUUCCUAGACUACAGACACCAAAACCAAAAUAAAAUGUAAAGGAACAGUCUCAACAGCGUCCGCUCAGACGGAAAACAUCGCAUCACUACUGCCUGUGAGAAAAACAUUUCCCCAUCUCCUCUACUUAGCAGAGGAGAGGCCUUAAUCUGGAAGGCUUCUCCUAGAUGAAAUAAUUUAGAGCUUAGAUUUUCACCCCUUACACGACUUCUGAAUGUCCUCUCUCCGCAGCCUCUCCAACCUUCUGAGAGGACAUGGGCUACAAAGAAAAAAAGACUCCGAGAUGGGCUUAGCACACACGAGAUACCGGAGCUUCUCUUAGGCGGAAGCUUGGGCGAGUCAGUCGCUGGGACUUGCUAAGGUUUCCUUCCUGUUCCACUCGCACUGCAGGGCUGUUGGAAAGCUUAGUCCGGUCAUGUUUGAGGAGUGCCUUGAACCUCUCAACACUGGGGUGCCAGGACCAUUUACCACAAGAUCGUCCUUUCAAAUAAGACUCAGCAAACCCAUCUCUGUUUCUCUACUAAAAUAUUAACCGGAGCCACAAAGUGCCACCCUUUAGCAGAAUUAGCAGAUUGCUCCUUAGCACACCUCAACUGCAUCAGCAGGACCUGCAUCAGCAGGACACCCCUGCCCCAUCAUCCUGCCUCUCCUCAAGCUGUUCGGCACCUAAAAGCUUCACUAUUCCGCAGCGGGAUGUGGGCCUCCCGCUCCUCCUUGCGUGCUGCUUCCGGCCACCACUGCCUGAAGAGCUCCUCGAAGAGAAAGCUAUUCACGCCCAUCAAGCACUGACUGUUGCCAGAGCCUGCAACGCCCGCCAGCCGGAAUGUGCUCACGAGACUCGUGGGCAGGGGAAGCAGGGAAGGGGGCUGUGCCGCAAGACCUCAGAAUCAGCUUCCACGUCCAGCUGACCGGUUAAGGGGGCAGGUCCCAACUCGAUGGCCCAUCACCCUCCUGUCGCUUCACACCGGCUUUAGUGCUGGAGUAACUGUCUAAUUAGGAUCUUGUUCAUGAAUCAUAUAUAUACCAGGGUCGUCACCAAUUCCAUUCUACUUCUGCUCAAAAAGUCGUUCUUUCUAUGACUAUUAAAAUGAAGUGAGGAGAAAUGUUAGAGUCUCAUGCGAUUGGUGACGCCUCCAGCUACCAACGCCAAGCAUCACAGAACUCCUUGUACGUGAUUCGGUUGUGAAAUACAGGAGGUGGUUAACUAAAUAUCCAUCAUCGUAUUAGUGCAUAAACCUCUCAAUGAGUUAGCAAUUUACAGGGAAUAUGAUCGAAUGCUUUCAUAUCAAAAUUAACAAUAUGUUUAUGUUCCGUUGGAAACAGCGUUCAAGAGCACGGGGACCCACGAGGUUAUCUUCAUAAAACUGUCAUCACACCACAGACAGACGCGACAGAUACUGUUAGUGGCCUGGUUAAUGAGUGGCUGGUGUCACUACGCCUCCUUCUGUCCAUUUACAGGCUCCUACUAUGGUGACUCCGGGUUCACAGUCAUGCCACUUGCUUUAGCCAAUUGGACAGCAACAAACUUGACACCAGCAGAGACUCGAAAAAGUCCUUGCACGUGUUUGCUUCCUCUCUGGUGCGUCUGCCUUCAGGAUUCGAACCCUCCCAGGGGAGCCCACUCGUGGGUAAGACCUACGGAGCUAAGUCAGCCGGAUGUUCCUGCCAAAGCCUCAGACGGGUCAGGGAUGCCACUGCCUUGCGGACCUGCUGCCGCCCCCAGAUGACACCAGCAGCUCUGGCUCCCAUCCGCAGAGACAUGGUCACAUGACCCGUGGAAAAAAAUAAACAUUUACUAUAGUGUGCCACUUAGGUUUGAGGUUGAUGUGACACGGCAUUUUCAUUGCCAUCUGGAAGUAUUAUUAAACAGAGAUUUGAGGUUAAUAGAAUGCCAGACAAUAGAGUUCACGUUGCCUAAAAUUAGUCUUGAAAUCUGUUAGUACAAAAUUCUCUUAUGGAGCUACACUGUAACAUAUUAUGAAACUUCUGAGGGAAAAAAAUAUUAAUUUAAAAUGUUCUUUAAAUGUCAUUUUACCAUAUUGAGCGAGCAAACAUUGCUGCUGAAAAGUCUCUCCACUCUUCCCUUUUUUCUCCUAAACAAAUAGACAUACGUGCAAAGCUAGGAAGACCGUCUGCAGGAAGGACGUUUCUCAAAGCUGAGCAGUGAGGGCAGCUUUGGCUCCAAAACACCUGUACCUCUGCUGAGAACGCACGGAGCUCCCGAGAAAUGGCAGUGGCUGUGAAGAGCCCCCAGAACACUUCUCCGACAGCCUCGCUAAGACGGAAGGACCUGUACACCCCGCCCUGUCUGAGAGGCUAUGGUCCCCCUGCACUGGGGUCUUUAAACAAGAGCCCCCUCGGUGCUCAGAGUCUUUGCCCUUCCAGAAGCUCUGACAUGGAGCAUCACAGCACCGCGCCACCAGGCCUUCAGUGGUCACCCAUGCGGGGCAAGGCGCCACACCGGUUCAGCAUCCUGCAAAGCCAGAGCGAAGGCUUGAACACGACGGUGGGAACAUUUCUUGGACUUUGAAGUGCACCUGCCUUUAAACAUGAGUCACUGUCUUGGAAAAGUACGUGUCUCUGGUGUCCUUGCUCAGGAGCUGCAAAGAGCGGAAGGCCAUUCCUUUCUAAACAAGACGCGUGCUGUGACUGCUCUGUCGUUCUCACCCACUCGAUAGCAAAGCCUCCGGUUAAGAAUUACAAACUCAGCCCCUCCUGGCAGCCUCUCCUACCUUAAAGUCAAGCCUCUUCUCCUCUUGGGCUCACUUCUCCCUACAAAGAAGUCAGCUCAGGGAUGUGAUACGUCACAGCCUAAGGAGGGAAGACCGGGGUGUAAAGGGUUUUUACCCCCAAAACAAGGCAAAGCAAUACUAGGAAAGGAAUUUGGACCUUCGAACGCCCAGCCCAGUACUU